AGAGUUUGAUCAUGGCUCAGAAUCAACGCUGGCGGCGUGCCUAACACAUGCAAGUCGAACGCGAAAGGGGAGCAAUCCCUGAGUAGAGUGGCAAACGGGUGAGUAACACGUGGGUGACCUGCCUUCGAGUGGGGGAUAACGUUCCGAAAGGAACGCUAAUACCGCAUGACAUCCUGCUCUUGGACGAGCGGAGAUCAAAGCUGGGGAUCGCAAGACCUGGCGCUUGAAGAGGGGCCCGCGCCUGAUUAGCUAGUUGGUGGGGUAACGGCCUACCAAGGCUCCGAUCGGUAUCCGGCCUGAGAGGGCGGACGGACACACUGGGACUGAGACACGGCCCAGACUCCUACGGGAGGCAGCAGUAGGGAAUUGUUCGCAAUGGGCGCAAGCCUGACGACGCAACGCCGCGUGGAGGAUGAAGACCUUCGGGUCGUAAACUCCUUUCGACCGAGAUGAACAGCCACCGACCCAACACGUCGGUGGCCUGACAGUACCGAGAAGAG
rnacentral:rRNA from 1 species